CCUACGGGUGGCUGCAGUGGGGAAUAUUGGACAAUGGGCGAAAGCCUGAUCCAGCCAUGCCGCGUGUGUGAAGAAGGCCUUCGGGUUGUAAAGCACUUUCAGUGGGGAAGAAAGCCUUGGGGCUAAUACCCUCGAGGAAGGACAUCACCCACAGAAGAAGCACCGGCUAACUCCGUGCCAGCAGCCGCGGUAAUACGGAGGGUGCGAGCGUUAAUCGGAAUUACUGGGCGUAAAGCGCGCGUAGGCGGUCUGAUAAGCCGGGUGUGAAAGCCCCGGGCUCAACCUGGGAACGGCAUCCGGAACUGUCAGGCUAGAGUGCAGGAGAGGAAGGUAGAAUUCCCGGUGUAGCGGUGAAAUGCGUAGAGAUCGGGAGGAAUACCAGUGGCGAAGGCGGCCUUCUGGACUGACACUGACGCUGAGGUGCGAAAGCGUGGGUAGCAAACAGGAUUAGAUACCCCUGUAGUC
rnacentral:rRNA from 1 species